rnacentral:rRNA from 1 species
CUACGGGAGGCAGCAGUGGGGAAUUUUCCGCAAUGGGCGAAAGCCUGACGGAACAAUCUCGCGUGAGGGAUGACUGCCUAUGGGUUGUAAACCUCUUUUUUCAGGGAGGAAUCAAUGACGUGUACCUGAAGAAUAAGCAUCGGCUAACUCCGUGCCAGCAGCCGCGGUAAGACGGAGGAUGCAAGUGUUAUCCGGAAUCACUGGGCGUAAAGCGUCUGUAGGUGGUUUAAUAAGUCAACUGUUAAAUCUUGAAGCUCAACUUCAAAAUCGCAGUCGAAACUGUUAGACUAGAGUAUAGUAGGGGUAAAGGGAAUUUCCAGUGGAGCGGUGAAAUGCGUAGAGAUUGGAAAGAACACCGAUGGCGAAGGCACUUUACUCGGCUAUUACUGACACUCAGAGACGAAAGCUAGGGUAGCAAAUGGGAUUAGAUACCCCAGUAGUCCUAGCCGUAAACAAUGGAUACUAGAUGUUGAACAGAUCGACCUGUGCAGUAUCAAAGCUAACGCGUUAAGUAUCCCGCCUGGGAAGUAUGCUCGCAAGAGUGAAACUCAAAGGAAUUGACGG